rnacentral:rRNA from 1 species
UACGAAGGGGGCUAGCGUUGUUCGGAAUUACUGGGCGUAAAGCGCGCGUAGGCGGCGCGACAAGUCAGGGGUGAAAUCCCGGAGCUUAACUCCGGAACUGCCUUUGAAACUGUCGUGCUGGAAUCUCAGAGGGGAUAGCGGAAUUCCAAAUGUAGGGGUGAAAUCCGUAGAUAUUUGGAGGAACACCGGUGGCGAAGGCGGCUAUCUGGAUGAGUAUUGACGCUGAGGCGCGAAAGCGUGGGGAUCAAACAGG